rnacentral:rRNA from 1 species
GAUGAACGCUGGCGGCGUGCCUAAUACAUGCAAGUCGAGCGAACGGACGAGAAGCUUGCUUCUCUGAUGUUAGCGGCGGACGGGUGAGUAACACGUGGAUAACCUACCUAUAAGACUGGGAUAACUUCGGGAAACCGUAGCUAAUACCGGAUAAUAUUUUGAACCGCAUGGUUCAAAAGUGAAAGACGGUCUUGCUGUCACUUAUAGAUGGAUCCGCGCUGCAUUAGCUAGUUGGUAAGGUAACGGCUUACCAAGGCAACGAUGCAUAGCCGACCUGAGAGGGUGAUCGGCCACACUGGAACUGAGACACGGUCCAGACUCCUACGGGAGGCAGCAGUAGGGAAUCUUCCGCAAUGGGCGAAAGCCUGACGGAGGAACGCCGAGUGAGUGAUGAAGGUCUUCGGAUCGUAAAACUCUGUUAUUAGGGAAGAACAUAUGUGUAAGUAACUGUGCACAUCUUGACGGUACCUAAUCAGAAAGCCACGGCUAACUACGUG